GGGGUGUAUAAUUAAAAGGGAAUCAGGUGUAAAUCCUGAACAGUCCCGCUGCUGUAAGCUCAAAUACACAUUUUAGGCAUCACUCAUUGCCACUGUUUUUUGAAACGGGAAGGUCGACCUAAAAUUGGAGCAAGUCAGAAGACCUGCCAAUACAUUU
rnacentral:ncRNA from 1 species